AUUGAACGCUGGCGGCAGGCCUAACACAUGCAAGUCGAGCGAGCGGCGGACGGGUGAGUAAUGUCUGGGAAACUGCCUGAUGGAGGGGGAUAACUACUGGAAACGGUAGCUAAUACCGCAUACCAUCAGAUGUGCGCAGAUGGGAUUGGCUAGUGGGUGGGGUAACGGCUCACCUAGGCGCCGAUCCCUAGCUGGUCUGAGAGGAUGACCAGCCACACUGGAACUGAGUCCCGGUCCAGACUCCUACGGAGGGAAGCAGUGGUGAUGUUUGCACAAUGGGGGCAAGCCUGACGCAGCCAUGCCGCGUGUGUGAGGAAGGCCUUCGAGUUGUAAAGCACUUUCAGCGGGGAGGCGUUACCCGCAGAAGAAGCACCGGCUAACUCCGUGCCAGCAGCCGCGGUAAUUC
rnacentral:rRNA from 1 species